rnacentral:rRNA from 1 species
UGCCCAAGAGAUCGGGAUAACACCUGGAAACAGAUGCUAAUACCGGAUAACAACAGAUGAUGCCUAUCAACUGUUUAAAAGAUGGUUCUGCUAUCACUCUUGGAUGGACCUGCGGUGCAUUAGCUAGUUGGUAGGGUAACGGCCUACCAAGGCGAUGAUGCAUAGCCGAGUUCGAGAGACUGAUCGGCCACAUUGGGACUGAGACACGGCCCAAACUCCUACGGGAGGCAGCAGCU